rnacentral:rRNA from 1 species
GACGAACGCUGGCGGCGUGCUUAACACAUGCAAGUCGAACGGAAAGGCCCUGCUUUUGUGGGGUGCUCGAGUGGCGAACGGGUGAGUAGCACGUGAGUAACCUGCCCUUGACUUUGGGAUAACUUCAGGAAACUGGGGCUAAUACCGGAUAGGAGCUCCUGCAGCAUGGUGGGGGUUGGAAAGUUUCGGCGGUUGGGGAUGGACUCGCGGCUUAUCAGCUUGUUGGUGGGGUAGUGGCUUACCAAGGCUUUGACGGGUAGCCGGCCUGAGAGGGUGACCGGCCACAUUGGGACUGAGAUACGGCCCAGACUCCUACGGGAGGCAGCAGUGGGGAAUAUUGCACAAUGGGCGGAAGCCUGAUGCAGCAACGCCGCGUGCGGGAUGACGGCCUUCGGGUUGUAAACCGCUUUCGCCUGUGACGAAGCGUGAGUGACGGUAAUGGGUAAAGAAGCACCGGCUAACUACGUG